AUUUCCACCAAGGCGGGAGUACUGUACUGUACUGGGGCUUGGUUGUCAGGCGGGGGAAAGGUGGCAGGAGUUUGAGCUGUCUGGUGUAGCGAGCAGGAGGGGCUAGUUCCUGAAGCCGAGGUCAUUAUUAUCCAGAGGACAGUUGGCCAGCUGAUCAUCAAUCCUGCCAAUGAGAUUCAUCUCAAAAACUCUCUCCCCUACAAGAACUGGACUGAAUUUCCACCUCAUGUUUAGAGGACAACUGGCUUAGCCAACUUAUUGUCACAUUUUAUU